rnacentral:rRNA from 1 species
UACGUAGGGAGCAAGCGUUGUCCGGAAUCAUUGGGCGUAAAGCGCGCGUAGGUGGCCUCAUAAGUCCGCUGUGAAAGUCCAAGGCUCAACCUUGGAAAGCCGGUGGAUACUGUGAGGCUAGAGUACGGAAGAGGCGAGUGGAAUUCCUGGUGUAGCGGUGGAAUGCGCAGAUAUCAGGAGGAACACCAAUAGCGAAGGCAGCUCGCUGGGACGUUACUGACACUGAGGCGCGAAAGUGUGGGGAGCAAACAGG